rnacentral:tRNA from 1 species
GGGCCCGUAGCUCAGCAAGGAAGAGCAUCGGGCUUUUAACCCGGGGGUCGGGGGUUCGAUUCCCCCCGGGCCCGCCA